GGUAACUUACAUAAAAGAUCCCUGGAAGGAUAUCAAGACGUUACUACAUUGUUUUGCCUCCAAGGAAGGAGUUUUGUGAGAUCUGCCAGAGUACUCCUGGCACAGAAGGGAACCAAUACUUGAAUAACAGAUGCUUGCUGAAUGUUUGCCUUGUUUCAAGUAAUACAGAAGGCACUUCUCAACACUGCCUACUUGGGACCUGAGCAAGGGAAAGACUGUGGCAGUCAUCAUUCUACUGUCCAUCUCUACAAGUUUGACUGUUCUGGAUACUUCAUAUGAGUGGAAUAUACAGGAUUUGACUUUGUCUGAGCAGCUUAUUUAACUUAGUCCAGUGUCCUCAAGCUUCAUCCAUGUUGUUGCAUGUGUUAGAAUUUGCUCCCCUUUUUAAGGUUGAAUAUUCCACUGCAUGUAUGUACCACAUUUUGUUUAUCCUUUCAUGCAGAGAAUGGAUUUUUGUACAAGGCUUUACUUUGCAGCAUUGAAAUAGCAAAAGACAGGUCGCAUGUCUGUGUGCAGGGGGUCAGUGGUAGGAAACAGGCACGACCUUACAGUGGAGGCCUGUGUGGCUGCGAUAAAGAAUGCGGCCUCUUCUUCUGUGCUGAUAUAGAACAAGCUCUAGAGCGUUAAGGUAUAGAAAACUGUGUGGACUGUUUUACUAUAGGUGUAUAAACAACAGGACAACAAAAACCUGUACUUUCUGUCAUUGCCCGAGGCUGUCUCUGAGGGAGAGAACCAGAUGAUGUACUUUUCUCUCUUUUCUCUGUGCGCUUUGUUACACCUUUGGCAUUUUGCACCAGGCGAUAUGUAUUUCCUAUUAAAAAAGAAAUGUCAAAAAGAAUGGAAAUAGCCUGUCCAGAGGGAGACGUGAUCGAUUUCCUGCACAUCUUAUGCAAGGAGGGAUGCUCUGGGCUUACAAAUAAUAUUAAAUUAAGCCAGUGAGAAAGACCUCAGUUAAACUCGGUUGGUUGAUUCACUUGACUGUCAGUAAAGGUUAACCAUGGAGCUCAUUCUCUGACCACCUCCAGCAAUUUUUUUAAUAACCGAAACUUAUCAAUAGUAUAGUGAUCAGAUCAGUGCAGUGCUCAGAGACUGACCUGGGAAAGCUCUAUCCAGAUGAAUCUAAGGACAAAGCUUUCACUUUAUGCACUGUACCUCGCAGUGGCUGCUCAGGUACAGGCUUCUGAGUGUCUGCUCUUUCAAAGCCGUCUGAAGCAGCCCGGAACCCUACUUUAAGAUGAAUUUGAUAGUCUUGUCUGAAUAAGUGCUUAUAUCUGGGUCCACAGGAGCUGGUGUCUUCAGAUCAGGGGUAAUGGAUAGGGCUUCCUGUAGAAUGAAUGUUUGUUGAUUACUAAAGUGUCUGUUUGAGUUAAUUGCCAUCAUUUGUAUCAUGGUCUCAUCAUUUGUAUCAAGUGCCUGAGCAAGACAAGCAUAUCUUCCUGUUGUUCGGCUGGGUUUCACCCCAUUAAAAGCUGUGAGAUUAUCAAAUUCUUCAUCUUCCAGACGAUGGUGAAGUCCUGCUGGCACAUUCGCUCCAUGACAAACAUGCCCUGGACAUUUGUUAUCAGUGACAAAAAAUGUUUCUGUUUUAAAUAUUCCAGUUUAAUAAAAAGAUAAUCAUAAUGUUCCUGGUUUCUGAAGAAACCUGCUGGAAAUCACCAGAGCUGGGAUGACCCUGGGUACCGCUAACAAUGGCUAACAUUUCUGUAGCUCCUUCCUGCCGCUCCAUUACUCCUCAUUGUCCUCAAAACAAAUUCCCUAUGAGGCCCUGGAGGUUCUCAGGAUCUGCUCUCCACCGUAACUCUCCAUUCACACUUCACGCUCCACAGCUUUCACAGUAACUGCCCCAGCUUCCCAAAUGACUCCUUUUCUGGGCACACUGUAAUUCUCUUUCGUCCGCCUUCUGCACUGUUCUGUCUCAAGUGCUAGUGUGUUCUUGCUCGCUCUGCGUUGCCCGACCUGUUCUUUCUCCAGAGCCCAGCUGAGAUGUGACCUCUUCAUGGGGGGUGUUUCCUUGACAAUGUAGGUGAGGUCAAAGGUCCGUCCUUGGGCUUUCACGGCUACCCUGGCGGUCACCUAACCCCGUAUUGUCAUUGCUUGUUUAUGUUUGCUGGACUUCCAGCUCCUCUGGGCAGUGGGUCUCAGACGCGUCCAGGCCUGUCAGCAUCGCCUGGAAGGCUUAGUAAGGCAGAAUGCUGGGCCCCACCCCAGGGUUUUUGAUUGAGUAGGAGAGGUGGGGGGGGGGCAGGCAAGAAUUUCAUAUUUCAACCAGCUUCCAGUUGAUGCUGAUGGUGCGGGCCUGGGGGCCACACUGUGAGGACCCCCUGCUGUGGGGCAAGGGCUGGGCUUGCGUUAUUUAUCUCAGUAUCCCCAGCACGUGGGCCAUCUUGGUACAUAAUUCAUGGUCAGUAAGUAUUUGUCAGUGUCGAAUGAAUGAGCGCAGUCAGGGUUAUUUUGGACAUUGCAUCCCCCAGGUGUUUCCAAUAAUAUGCUGGUGGGAAAUCUAAACACUUUCAGAGAAGUGAUGAGAAAGAUGAUGGGGAAGGAUGCAGUGCCUGACACACAGGAAGAGCACAGUGAAUACCUGGACGGUGGU